CGAUUUUUGUUAACUUUUUUAACACUAGACCAUGGGAAAAAGUUAAAUCAUACACUUUUGAGGACUUUUACUACAAAAUCUCUAAUUUAAUACAGUAUGAAUGUUUGAUUUUCAGCAUGUAUGUAGUCAGAGAUGUCCUGAAGUCAAAUAUAUCAGUCAUUGUCAGGCAUUAUUUAUUACAUUUUUCCAGCAACCCAAAAAUCAAAGAAUAAAGA